AUGUGUGUAGUCAGUAAAAAAACCAAACCAAAAAAACCCAAAACGCAGCACACACACACACAGUUUGUAAUUUUCCAUGCUUCUGGUCCAACUUUCAGUAAUCUUAUUCUGAUAAUUAUAAUCUAUUCUUUCUUCCCCCAAGAUUCUGAUAUUUUUCUCUUUGCAGAAAAUCAAGUGUGCACAGAACUAACUUGCAAUAGUGCCUUCCUGACUCAUGUCAAAAAUGCACAAUCUUUCAGGCAGUCUGAGGAGCUUACAAAACAAUAUAAUGAUAGUUUAUUGCCAUUCUGUGGAAAUGUGACUGAAAGAAAGAAACAUGCAGCAUUUUGUCAGUCAAAAACUCAACCUAAUAUAAAGGAUUCUGAUAAAAAAGGUAGCUCAGAUAAUCUGCCUUGUGGUAUCAACAGCGGCAGCACCACCAAUGAUGUGAAUUUGCGGCAAAGUUCAAGUGACUUGUCUCACAUUAGUCCUUCACCUCUUAAGUUUAGCAAUGAAAGCAAGAGAGAUUUAAAGCUGCUGCUUUUUACUGACAAGAUGAAGCCUGAAGAAACUGUUUAUGGUGCUGAUAUGGAGUUGACUGCCAGUGAUGCAGGUGAACUACUCACAGUUACAGCAAAAGACAAAGAUAAAUUACACCAAAAUAGAAAUAGUAAUGCUAAUUCUGAUAAAAUAUUAGCAAAUUUCAGAAAAGUAAAAUACUCUAAGAAGGAUAAAAAUAAAAUUAAAAGCAAGACUGAAGCAAGUUCAAAUAUAUAUGCAGAAGAAAGACUCACUAGGCCUGACAGUAGUGAAGCUUCAAAAACUACUGACUCAGAAACUGAAUUAUUCCAAAAUCAGACAGAACAGCCACCUACAGGAGAGUCUGUAGGGAAACAGGGUUUGCAAAAUACCGGCAAAGAUUAUCAAGCCCAAAAUUGUCCAAGUAAAGCUAAGGAUACUAGGAGGACAUACCAGGUUAACUUAAUGAGUCCAAGAACACAGGAGACAAAUAAAGACACUUUCUCAGAAACGUUUGAAGAAAUGGAAAGCAAAAUACAAAAAGGAGACUCAAACUCCUCUAUUAACAAGAUACCACCAGAAGUUUAUUGUGCUGAAAAUUUAACAUUCCAAGAUAACACUUCUAAUGUAUUACCUUUACAGCAGGACUUUCUGCAUACAAAUGAGAAACAUAGCAGUCCAAAAGUAAACAGGAAAACUUUUCAAAACCCUGCUAAAGCAAACACAGCAAAAUACUGUAGAGAGGAAAAUGGACAGUAUGGAGAAUAUAUUUCAAAAAAGUCUCAAACAGAGAUACACCACCAUGACAGCAAGAGAAAACAAGAGCAGAAGAAUACUGUAAAGAGAAAAUACAACAACAAAAGUAGUUGCAGACAAAGUGGAGAAACUGAUAGUGACAGCACUCAGAAAAUUACUCAGAAAAUAGACCAAAAGACUAGCCAUUUUUCUCCAGGCAGAUUAAAACAUACAUUGGCAAGGGCUAGCCGGAAAGCACAUAUAAUACCAAAAGAAAAACUUUCACGGUUCUCACUUUGUAAAAAUGAAGAAUUAAAAAAUAAGGAUGCAUUGCAUGCAGGGUCUGUAUGUGGAAAUAAAGUAACCAAAACUCAGCAAAUGCAGGCAGCUUUAGUUACUCAGAAUGGUGUAGCCAUGAAUACUUCACAAGCUAAAGAACAAGUUGAUGAUGAUUCUAAUACUUUAAAGAAAGUAGAUUCCUCAUCAGUGGCUCAUAAAACCCCUCGCAUUAGUACUGCUGCUGAUAAUCCAGUAAAGCAUAAACAGAAGUUUAGUUCUAAUAUUACUGAGACCAGAUCAGAAAAAAAAUAUUUCAGGCAUAUCGAUCAGGGGGAGCAGAAUAUUUUGGAUGACCAGGAAGCCCCUCAUGAGAGAGAUUCCUUUAUGAGCAAGUUAAAGCCUACAGUUCAAAAAUCAGAAUUUUUAAAAUCCUUAUCUGUCGAAUGUUCUAAGAAUGUGCCAUUAAAUGUAGAUGACUUUUCCCAGGAAGGUCUUUCCAAUGUGGAGCCCCCAGCUAUUGAUAACCACAACGCUUCCAUGAACUUCUCUAUACUGAUAAACCCUGAAAUAUGUGGGGAAAAUGAUCAUAAUAAAGCACCGGAUGGUGGAAAAGCAGAACAAAAACUGGAUCAUAUUUCUAAAGAGACUUACAUAAAGACUCUGACAUCUUGUCAUGGGAGAAAGGCUUUACAAGAUCUGACAAAUAGUAGAAUGCAAUCUCAUACAUCCUUACCAAAAUGUCCCCAAACUUUAGAAGAAAACUCAGCAGCACCAUCUAGACGACGAAGAGCCACUAUUUGCUAUAAAGAACCCAGUCUAGCCAGGUAGGUAUAUGUAAAUUAGAGCUUUUUUUUGGGGUUGGGUUUUCAUGUGUACUUAACUAUAGCCAGUAAAGAUUUGCUAUUAAAACCACCAAAUAAAGACUUAAACUAUCUCUUUCA
rnacentral:lncRNA from 1 species